rnacentral:lncRNA from 1 species
CCUCCUUAAGAAACCAACUUUCUGAAACAAAAAUUAACAAAGAUAAACCAAACAAAUUCCGGGGUCAUAAUACAAUAUUAGAUAAUACAAUUGUUAUCUUUAACUUGAACAUUCUUAUACAAAGUGGUUAAGAUAAUUGAUCAAGCUUUUUUCAGCUGCAAAUACAACAUGCACUUAAAGCACAAACUUUGAACAUUACAUGGCCACGUGAUCUACCAGGGGAUCUGACCAUUUUUGCCAAAUUAAGCUAGUGAUCAUGGAAAGUAUGAGAAAGAGGCAAACCAAAAUAACCAGCAAUCUGCAA